UAGGGAAUCUUCGGCAAUGGGGGCGAACCCUGACCGAGCAACGCCGCGUGAGUGAAGAAGGUUUCGGAUCGUAAAGCUCUGUUGUAAGAGAAGAACGUGUGUGAGAGUGGAAAGUUCACACAGUGACGGUAACUUACCAGAAAGGGACGGCUAACUACGCGCCAG
rnacentral:rRNA from 1 species